rnacentral:rRNA from 1 species
AUGGCCACCGGGUUCAAAGGCGUUCAAGAAAGAUACAACCCCAAGUGGAGUAGGGCCCAAGAAGAGCGCAAGGCUGCCGAUUUGGUCGACCAGAAGCUGAAAGAGAAGGCGAAUGAGCUGCGCACUUGGUGCAACGAGCGGGCCCGUGACCUCAUCAGGCAGGUGGAGAAACUUGCUGCCGCCAGAGAAGUGGUGGCAACCCGCAACAGCAAGUUGAUGGAGCGCGUGGUACUGCUUAACGUCAAAGAGAAGGAUCUUAUUGCACAGGAACAAGCCCUUACUACCACUCUCCAUGGCAAGGAUGAUGAAAUUGAAAUGCUCCUUAAGCAGCGGACCCAAGCGAUGGAGGACAAACACAAGGAAUCCAUUGAAGCCCAAGCCUUGGAGAGUGCUGCCAAACUUAAGGAGGCUGCUGAUGAGGUUGCUGUCGCUGCUAUCGCCAAGGUAGACCUUGGAAUCCAGGUGGGCAAGCUGAAGGAGGAGCUUGCCAACAGCAACAAGGAGAUCGAAAUCCUCAAGGGCGAAGCACAGAAAACAUCCCUCACUCUAGAGGAGCUACAGAUGUAG